GAUGAACGCUGGCGGCGUGCCUAAUACAUGCAAGUCGAGCGAAUGGAUUAAGAGCUUGCUCUUAUGAAGUUAGCGGCGGACGGGUGAGUAACACGUGGGUAACCUGCCCAUAAGACUGGGAUAACUCCGGGAAACCGGGGCUAAUACCGGAUAACAUUUUGAACCGCAUGGUUCGAAAUUGAAAGGCGGCUUCGGCUGUCACUUAUGGAUGGACCAGCGUCGCAUUAGCUAGUUGGUGAGGUAACGGCUCACCAAGGCAACGAUGCGUAGCCGACCUGAGAGGGUGAUCGGCCACACUGAGACUGAGACACUGCCCAGACUCCUACGGGAGGCAGCAGGAGGGAAUCUUCCGCAAUGGACGAAAGUCUGACGGAGCAACGCCGCGUGAGUGAUGAAGGCUUCCGGGUCGUAAAACUCUGUUGUUAGAGAAGAACAAGUGCUAGUUGAAUAAGCUGGCACCUUGACGGUACCUAACCAGAAAGCCACGGCUAACUACGUGCCAGCAGCCGCCGUAA
rnacentral:rRNA from 1 species